UACAGAGGGUGCAAGCGUUGUUCGGAAUUACUGGGCGUAAAGCGCACGUAGGCGGCUUUCUAAGUCGGGGGUGAAAUCCUGGAGCUCAACUCCAGAACUGCCUUCGAUACUGGAGAGCUUGAGUCCGGGAGAGGUGAGUGGAACUGCGAGUGUAGAGGUGAAAUUCGUAGAUAUUCGCAAGAACACCAGUGGCGAAGGCGGCUCACUGGCCCGGUACUGACGCUGAGGUGCGAAAGCGUGGGGAGCGAACAGG
rnacentral:rRNA from 1 species